rnacentral:rRNA from 1 species
GCUUACGGCCAUAUCGUUCUGACUGCACCCGAUCUCGUCUGAUCUCGGAAGAUAAGCGGGGCUGGGCUUGGUUAGUAAUUUGUUUGGGAGACUGCCUGGGAAUACCAAGCGCUGUAAGCU